UCUGAUUUCGUUAAACUUGGGUUACUCUCUUGCUCUUAUUGUACGAGUAAACAAAAUAUUUAACUAUGCGGUAUUUUAUUCAAUGUUAAUGCAUAUAUAUAGGCGGCUAUGCCUGACAUUUUGGAGAGAACUCCAAAACAUUUCUUCCACGAGAGGGGAAGUUUUCUGAAACAUAAAGUAGAUAUUGGAUAUUCUAAGGUCAAGCACAUACCUGGCCUCACUUGUUACAUGAAACCCGAAGCGUGCACCUUUUUAUGGGUAUUCUAUUAUUAUUACUAUAUUUUAACACAGUAUUUAUCUUCUCCUAUUUUGAGAUGCGACAAUCUUGACAUUGAACAUUAUUACGCAGACCAAGCUGGAUAUAUCGUGCUUUGCUGACAUUGAAGACGAUCAAGACUUCUGCAGGAAGCUUGCUAUGGAAGAAAAUCUCGUCGUUUUGCCAGGUGCUAAUUUUUCAAAUCCCUUUGCAAAAUAUAUACUACAAUGUUUUUCUUGUUUAACCAUAGAACAUGUUGUGUGUUGAAUUGGUUAGGGAUUGCAUUUAGGCAGAAGAAUUGGCUGAGGCAUUCUAUCGACAUGGAGACGCAAACAGUUGAGGACGCAUUUGAAAGAUUGAAGAGCUUCUGUGAACGCCAUUCCGCUGAACGUGGAGCUUCACUCAAAAACGUCAAUGGCGUGAACUAGAGGGUCAACAUGAUGAUCUUUGCCUACGUCUAAUUACAUAUGCUAUAAUAAUAAAUGGGUGUUUUCAGUUCAAAAAAAUAAAAUAAAUUGGUGUUUUUGGUAAUGUGAGAUAAAUCAUGAACACUUUCGUAUUUGUAACAAAUAAAAUUGGUGUACUUAUCAUCAAUCUAGAAUGUUUUCUCAUAAUGUAGCUACUUUCGAAUAAUAAAAUUAAUAUGUCCCAAAUUCUGUUUUAUUUGAGAUAGAUUGACGUGCAAGUACAUUGAUAACUAACUGAUGCGGCCAUCAGAUCAGCAACUAAACCAGAGAUCAACCCAAAACCCUACUCAACCAGCCAAAGCGCCAGCCAGGACAUACGUGCACUAAAAACAUCAUAUCUUACAAACCAAGAGGGUUUAAAUGACAAGGUUAAUUUUUAUGGAUUCUACAUUCAAGAAGGAGUCCAGGAUGGAAUCGGGACAAAAUAUUCACGGAGCAAGAAGUUAUGAAUUUUAUAAGUCAUAGGUUUCUCAGCCCGUCCAUCUGCGAGUACCCGACUUUAGAAGAAAAUUCAAGCCCAAUGAAAACGCGGCCUGAAGCAAAGCCCAUCAUAGGAGUCAAGAGGAGUUUAUCAGCUUUUUAGAAAGCCCAAUAUCAGGAGAAAUGGCCACGGAAUUAUAAAGUUAUGAUCCAAUCUCCAAAACCGGCCAAACCAGUUCUACACUUGCCUCAAUUGGAAGCUAACCGGUUCAAUCAGCUUCAAACCAGACAUUGGCGACCAGGAGAUCUAUCUAUGCAUUCAGGAAGUCCAUCCAGUGGUCCAGAAGAGUCAGACAAGUUCAUUCCAUGCACCAGCCCACAUAGGAUCAGGAGGAUCCUCAUUAACCCCAACUGCCUUAUUUGGAGCUUCUUGCCAUCCAGCUCCAACAGCUCUUUUUCCAUAGGAUUGGGCACGACCUCAGCACAUUCCAAACCAUCAAGAAGGUUCCCAGGAAGCUUAGUUAUCCCCUCAAACCAUCCAGGUUUAAGAAAGAUCAGAUUCCUUACUUGGAGCCAAAAUCCCACAAAAGGCUCCAACGGCUAGUUACCGAUUUUGCUACUUUGCUUGAUUUGUUUCCUUUUCUAUUUGUUUUAGAACGUUAGGACCUUUUUCUCUGAGCCUUAUAUAAGCUCCUAGACGUCCAUUGUAAAGAACACCCUCAAUCACCAAGUUAAUAAAAAGUUUAUUCAGUUUUUAUCAAAGAUUGUUCUUUGUAUAAAAUAUCGGUGUUUAGAAUUCAAAGAGAGAUUAUUUGUUGUUCUAUUGAUUUCGUGAGUCUAGUUUGUUUGUUCAAAUCAAACAAGCUCAGUAGACAGAUUGAGAGAGUCAACACAUUGUUUCCAUCAUCCAUCAGGUUGAGAGAUUCAAUCAAACAUUCAUCCGCAAAUCCACUUCAAUCCAUCAUUUGAUCAAUCUGAGAGUAAUACACAUCCAGCAGCUUGAUUCCGUCAUAUCUAUCCUUUCUAUCUCUUUUAUUUUUUCAUUUUAUUCAUAUCAUAAACCGCAUCUCAUUUUUUUUGCAUUGGUUUCAGGUUUACAACCUUCAUCUCAUUCAUAUCGCCCACCUUAGUUGCCUAAUUUCUCGGUUUAGUUAAAAUAGUUUUCAUUAUUCAUUUGGUUUGACUAGCACUUCCCAUAUCUUCACUUGAUCUUUAAGAUUGAUCUCAGGGAUAAAUGGGAGAGGCAGCACACGGUCAAGCUCUAAUAGCUUCUCAAAAAACCAUCCAAGCUUCCAUCAACCAUCUUGCCAUCCCUGAUUUCCAGGCUGAAAUAUUUGGUAUUAGAGACGAAAGGUUCUUGAGUCAGGUCCAUUCAAUCCUUGCAUCAUUCAUCUUCCUUGCAUUUGUUUCAUCAUUAAAAUAAAAAAAAGCCAUAAAAACAGUUUUUACAUUGUUAUUGUUCUUAAGAAAAGAAAAACAAAAGAGAAGAAGUUUCUUGCAUUUGAUUCACGAAAAUUUGAAAAAGAAAUCUCAUAUUGUGUUUGCAUUCAUUCCCCAGCUCCACUUGCCAUUUUUAGAUUUUGUGCAUUCAUUUAAAAAAAAAAAAUAUGCAUUCCAUAUUUGUUUCUUAUUUGAAUCUUGCAUAAAAAUAAAAAGGCCUAGCAUUUUAUUUUCGUGCAUACCAUAUUUGUUUCAUAAGUUUAUUAUUUGCAUUCAAAAAAAAAAAUUCAUUCAUAUUGCGUGCAUUUGUUUUUCCAUCUUAUAAACCGAAAACCCAUAAAAAACUGUCUUUUGUUUCAAGUAUUGUUUCUGCAUUUGUUCUUGUGUUCUUGUUGUUCAUACUUUUCAAAAGCCACGAACAAGAAAAGAAAAAGUUGUGUUUGAUUCAUUAAAAAAUCGAAAAUCCCAUAAAAAUUGUCAUUUUGAAUUUAUUUCCUUUGUUUGCAUAUCCUUCAAAAAAAAAAUCAUCCUAGUUAUUUUAGUAGACCAUUUUAGUUGAAGUAAUUCGUGCAUAUCAUAUUGCUGCAUUUAAAAAAAAAAACAUUCAUCAUAAGUUUGAAUCAUUUGUUUCAUAUUGUUAGGUUUAUUGCAUUUCUUAAACUAAAAACUCAAAAAAAUAUCGUUGUUAGUUUUUUUCCAUAUUUUCUUUCCAUUUAUUUUUCAUAGCAUCCCAUACUGAUUUAUUUCGUUCUUGCAUCAAGAAAAUCAAAAAAAAAAAUUAUAUAGAGCAUAGUUCAUAUCAUUUGCAUCUUGUUAAUUUAAUUGUUGCAUCUUAAGAAAAUUCAAAAAAAAAAUAUCAGUAUUAGUUUGCUUUCCAUAUUUUAUUUCCAUUUGUAUUCAUUAUCAUCUCAUAUUGUUUCAUUUGGAGAUUUCAUUGAGAAAACCAAAAGAAAAAUCAUUUUUUUUAGUAUAGCUAUUUCAUUUCGGUUCAUAGUUGCCAAAUUUCUCGGUUUAGUUAAAAUAGUUUUCAUUAUUCAUUUGGUUUGACUAGCACUUCCCAUAUCUUCACUUGAUCUUUAAGAUUGAUCUCAGGGAUAAAUGGGAGAGGCAGCACACGGUCAAGCUCUAAUAGCUUCUCAAAAACAACUACUGAUUGCUAUGCGAGAAUUAGAAGAUCAAAUGGCCCGGUUAGAAGAAAGAAGCAAUAUGUCUAGGAGAAAGACACAAGGCCGAGGACCACCACAUGGAUCAUUUUUUUUAGUAUAGCUAUUUCAUUUCGGUUCAUAGUUGCCAAAUUUCUCGGUUUAGUUAAAAUAGUUUUCAUUAUUCAUUUGGUUUGACUAGCACUUCCCAUAUCUUCACUUGAUCUUUAAGAUUGAUCUCAGGGAUAAAUGGGAGAGGCAGCACACGGUCAAGCUCUAAUAGCUUCUCAAAAACAACUACUGAUUGCUAUGCGAGAAUUAGAAGAUCAAAUGGCCCGGUUAGAAGAAAGAAGCAAUAUGUCUAGGAGAAAGACACAAGGCCGAGGACCACCACCUGGAGAAACAAGAUUUGGAGAUGCACCAGAGGAUGGCUAUGUUGAGCCUAAGCCACCAGAUCCUUCAUGGAUCACCCCACACCAUACUUCUUCAACUCAUAAAUACUUAACUCAUUCUUAUCUUGAUUUUAAAUCUGUUAAUGAAGUUAAGAUUUAUUCUUUUUCAGGAAGCAGUUGGCCAGAUGACUAUCUCUCAUGGGAAAGAACCAUGGAUGAUUGGUUUUCAUACCAUGGUGUGCCAAAGAAAGAAAAGCUGAGCCAUGCCAUCAAACAACUCACCGGAAGUGCAUACAAAUGGUGGAAAGGUGUAGAUGGUGCAAGAUGGAAGAGUCAAAGAGAGGCUAUCAAAACGUGGGAAGAUCUUAAAGAGGCCAUAAUCAGGAAGUAUGUUUUCUCACUACCAACACCAGAGAUUAGAGAAAGGUACCCAAGGAGGUUUUCAAGUCAUGGGUCCAAAGAGGCAAAUAGAGUGGUGCCACAACAAGGCCAUAGAAGCUUGAUCCAUCAAGAUCAGAUUCGGCCCAAACCAGGGGCACACAGUUUUCUAUGAUCAAUCCCAACCUUAUGAGGUCCCAAAGACCAUGGAGAGAAAGAACUUUGUCAGCCAAGACACGUUGGCCAGACACAAAGAAAAAUCAGACAAACAGAUUUUUAAAGAAAAGGCCAAGGAUGUUAAGACAGGUCCUGAGGUCCAGAAAGACACGAUCUCCACAUCUUUGUUGAGAUCCAAAGUUGUCCAUGAUUUAAGUCCAAGAGACAAGGAGAUUUUAAACCCAAAGGAAGAAGAGCCAUCAAGCCAAGGUAAGUCUUCUAAAUCUGAGAAUUUGAAAUAUCAGACAUGUUAUAGAUGUCAUAAGAAAGGACAUUAUGCUGUAGUAUGUCCUACUAAGCAAGCAUUGAUAGAAACAUCACUAGGAAAGAAAAGAGAAUUAUCUACUAAAAGUGAUAGUUUUAUUCAAUCUGAUUUAUUGAUUCCAAAUUCUUGUGUAAUGCACUUGUCUUUGUCAAAAGGUGUUGUAACAGGAACUAAGGAGCAUGAAUUCAAAGGAGAGGAGCAACCAGGCGCCACACUUGUGAUGGAACAGAAGCUGGUUCAAGACACAAUGCAGUCCAUGUUGCUUAAAGAAGCAAAACCAGUAAUCAAAGUAUCACACCAAGGUAAGUAUCUAACACCACUUUUUGAUACAAGUGCUGACGUUUUUGUUCUUGGUAUAGGAGGAACAAAUGAAAGCUAUAUGCUUACUGAAGUUCCAAGGAAAGAACCAGACCAUAAGCUCAGCCAUGAACCACCUCAUAAGUGGAAGCCUAAAAUUGAACUAAUUGUUGUUCAAAUGCCAAGGCUUAAGGUAAGUUUCUCUGAUCUUAAAAUGCCCAAGACAUUUGAUUAUCCAGAUGUAAUGCACUUUUCUUUUCCAAAAAGUUUUGAUAUAGGAAUAAGACAAGAAGAAGUUCAUAACAACCAAGGUCAAAAGUUGCAAAGAAGACAGCAAACAAAAACAAGUUGUCCAAAGAAGAAAAUCAUUCUUCAACUUGUGGAAGCUAUCAAAGUAAGUCUGGAAAUUUCAAAUUAUUUUUAUCAGUGUCCAAACACAGAUAUAAUUCACUUGGUUUUUAUCCAGGAAGUUGAGAAUUUUUCAGGUUGCAAAGAAGAAAACUUCAAAGAAAUCCCACCAGAUUAUCUUAUGUUGCUAGGAGGAUCAACUCCAAAGAAGAUCAGAAACGUGGCCACCACAAAUUUGAAGGACCAUCCAGUCCAGAACAGAUGCAAUGACCAUAAACAUACAAGAAGCGUGAUCCUUUCAUAUCUGUCCAAAGAAGAGCCACCAGAUGCAUCAUGCAUCACCAAGCCGAAAUUAAAUCAAGGUAAGGGUCUAAACUCAAAAGAGAAUGAAACCUGACUUGCUCUAUCUUGGUACAGGUUAUCCAGUUUCAAGGACGAAACUUUGUCAAGGGGGAGGGUAUGAUGCGGCCAUCAGAUCAGCAACUGAACCAGAGGUCAACCCAAAGCCCUACUCAAUCAGCCAAGGCGCCAGCCAGGACAUACGUGCACUAAAAAUGUCAUAUCAUAUAAACCAAGAGGGUUUAAAUGACAAGGAUAAUUUUUAUGGAUUCUAAAUUCAAGAAGUAGUCCAUGCCAAUUGGAAUCGGGACAAAAUAUUUACGGAGCAAGAAGUUAUGAAUUUUACAAGUCAGAGGUUUCUCAGCCCGUCCAUCUGCGAGUACCCGACUUUAGAAGAACAUUAAAGCCCAAUGAAGAAGAGGCCUGAAGCAAAGGCCAUCAUAGGAGUCAAGAGGAGUUUAUCAGCUUUUCAUAAAGCCCAAUAUCAGGAGAAAUGGCCAUGGAAUUAUAAAGUUAUGAUCCAAUCUCCAAAACCGGCCAAACCAGUUCUACACUUGCCUCAAUUGGAAGCUAACCAGACAUUGGCGACCAGGAGAUCUAUAUAUGCAUUCAGGAAGUCCAUCCAGUGGUCCAGAAGAGUUAGACAAUUUCAUUCCAUGCACCAGCCCACAUAGGAUCAGGAGGAUCCUCAUUAACCCCAACUUGCCUUAUUUGGAGCUUCUUGCCAUCCAGCUCCAACAGCUCUUUUUCCUUCAGAUUGGGCACGACCUCAGAACAUUCCAAACCAUCAAGAAGGUUCCCAUGAAGCUUAGUUAUCCCCUCAAACCGUCCAGGUUCAAGAAAGAUCAGAUUCCUUACUUGGAGCCAAAAUCCCACAAAAGGCUCCAACGGCUAGUUUCCGAUUUUGUUACUUUGCUUGAUUUGUUUCUUUUUCUAUUUAUUUUAGAACGUUAGGACCUUUGUCUCUUAGCCUUAUAUAAGCUCCUAGACGUCCAUUGUAAAGAGCAUUCUCAAUUACCAAGUUAAUAAAAAGUUUAUUCAGUUUUUAUCAAAGGUUGUUCUUUGUACAAAAUAUCGGUCUUUAGGAUUCAAAGAGUGAUUCUUUGUUGUUCUAUUGAUUUCGUGAGUCUAGUUUGUUUGUGCAAAUCAAACAAGCUCAGUACACAGAUUGAGAGAGUCAAUCACAUCGUUUCCAUCAUCCAUCAGAUUGAGAGAUUCAAUCAAACAUUCAUCCGCAAAUCCACUUCAAUCCAUCAUUUGAUCAAGCUGAGAGUGAUACACAUCCAGCAGCUUGAUUCCGUCAUAUCUAUCAUUUCUAUCUCUUUUAUUUGUUCAUUUUAUUCAUAUCAUAAACAGCAUCUCAUUUUUUUUGCAUUGGUUUCAGAUUUACAACCUUCAUCUCAUUCAUAUCGCCCACUCGAUCAUACUUUUUGUCGAACCAUCCAAGCUUCCAUCAACCAUCUUGCCAUCCCUGAUUUCCAGCCUGCAACACUAACCUAUACAGCAUGUAAACUUCUAUUUAAUUAUUGUUUUCUAAAAAAUUAUAUAAAUAUUUAAUAAUAUGGUAAAUGUUUAAAAUAUGUAUCACCUACUAAAUGCUUAAACUAAUAUCAAUGUAUAUAAAAUAUAAAAAAAUAUUUGCGCAUAAGUGCGGAUCAAACUCUAGCUUUGUUUUAUUUGAAAGAAAAAAACGUUGUAAAGUACAUCAAUAUCUAGCAAUGGUAAAUAAGGUUAAGAUAUUUAGGGUCAGUCCGACCUAUCCAUAACUAUAACCAACAUCAAACCCUAAACACCAACCGGCAAUCGUUGAGAACAUGGGAUUAAUUCUUAUGUCGUUUGUCGUAUCUUACAAGGUGAAGAACGAAAAGUUACAGAAAGAGAUAUAUAUCUCUGAACAUGUCCAGAAAAAAAGGAUCUAAAGUUGACAACAAAAUUUAAGUUGAAUUAUGGUUGUUAUUAAUCUUUUUUAAUAAACUCAUGAGGAAGAUCAAUUUUACCUUCAUUUUUCGAUCUAGAAAGGUAUAACCUCAUGUCAAAAUCAGUUUUACUUUUCAUGAAGAGAAAAAGGAAACAAUUGAAAAUCACACUUUUCAUUCUGCUACGUAAUCAUCAAAGCCAAGAAGUUAGAAGCUUCACGCACUAAAAUCAACUCUUUCCACUUUCUUCUCGUUUUCCAAGUCAAUAGCCAAACACCAAACGGGUCUUGAGGACGAUCUUUACAUGAGUCCAUUGCAACUUAGGACAAGCUAUAAUUAAUUUUAUACUUAAGCUAAAAUAACACACCAAUGGGACCAAUCUACAUCCAAGAUUAGAAGCUUUCACAUCAUAAAAACCAACUCAUCCCACUUGCACUUCGUUUUACAAGUCAAGAGUCAAGCUUUUCUAUUUUCCUUCCAACCGCGUUUCAGAAAUUUACAUCUCCAUUACAAAUCGAAUAAUAUUAUAUAACUGUAUUGUUAAUUCUAAACCUUCAAUUCAAGACAGAAACUGUGAGCUAGGCAUGGCUGAGUCUAACGGGGAGGAUCCAGCUAAGCCUUUAGCCCCACUUUAUCUAACUCCACGUAGCGACCAACCCGAAGAAGAUCAGUACCAAGACCAAACCAAACAACACGUCCACCACCACCACCAACGGGCCAAACUAAUCUUAUGUUGUGGCUUCAUCGCAUCUCUAACCAUACUCAUCGCAGUCACUUUCAUCGUCCUCUCCCUCACGGUCUUCCACCUCCACAGCCCAAAGCUCACUGUAACUUCCAUAUCCAUCAUCCAACCGUUGGACAUCGUCAACGGUAAAGUCAACACGACUCAAAACGCUACCCUCGCAGUGGAGAUCUCAUUACAUAAUCCUAACCCUGCCGUGUUUAAAGUUAAAGACGUUACGGUUUUGUUUUACCACGAUGAACUGGUGGUGGUGGUUGGGGAGAGUACUAGAAGAAGCGAAACUAUUCCAGCGAAACGGACGGUGGAGAUGAAUCUGACGGCGGAGAUUGAUACGAGAAAGCUACUAGCAUCUGACCCAGGUUUAAUGGAGGAUUUUAACGGAAGUGUGGUGUUGAGAAACAGAGUUGCAGUUAACGGUAAAGUGAAGAUGAUCAAGAUUUUCAAGAAGUCUGUUCAGCUUAAGACAGAUUGUGUCGUGACCAUGAUGAUGAUGAACAAUUCAUCAAAGCCUAGUUUUGAUUGUACGAGGACAAGAAACACGUACGAACAUGUUCGAAGCUGAAACAAUAAAUUUUUAUUUAUAAAUGUCUGUAAAUAAACUCAGUUCACAUGUAAAAAAGGAAAGAUGCAAUGUCGAAUCAAAAGACAAGUUUGGUUUGCACCGGUUAAUAUGACUUACUCACCGGUUUAUUUCUUUGUUUGGUCUUUCUUCGGUCUUUCUUCGGUUGGUCCUUCUUUGCCUGGUCCUUUUGUUGGUCGCUGACACGUCCUCCGGCGAUUUUAACGACUGGUUCGUCUUUGGACUUUAUUAGCUUUAGCGCUGGGUGAACCUUGAGGUCUCCGGUUACUAGCUUUUGUCCAACGUCCAAGUGGCUGAGAUCUACAUCUAUAUAUGGAGGGAUUAUUUCUGCUGGGCACAGUGGCAAACCUACGUUGACUAGGGAGGAGGCAGUUGCCCCCACAAAAAUCUAGAAAUAAAUGUAUUUGCAUAAGAAACAACAAGCUUUUCGUAGCAUAGAUGGUUUCGGUCCUUUACCUGCGCCCCACCCCCUCGAAUUCCCUUCUAGCCACAUAUUUCCCUCCUAGAUUCGCCACUGGCUGGGCAUAGGAACUUUACGGUUCUUUUGAUCGUAAGAGAUUCUCCUGCAGGAAGAUCAAGAAAUGGUGAUCAAUAUUAAAUUCUAACAAGAAACUAGAUACUGCCAAUAUACCCAAAAAAAAACUAAUGGGGAUGGAAUUUAAAAAGGAUAGACAGAACUGAGAUACAAGCCACUAAACAAAGCUAGAGGUCAUUUUAUACAAAGAUAUAUCAUGCAAUAUGGCAAACGGUGCACAAAUCAUCAAACAUAAUGUGGUUUUUGCAAAUAGAUUUCUCCCUCCUCGAGUUAGAGUUUUCUUAAAACAUCAAUCAAGUCAAAGCUUAGCUCAAUCGACUUCGAAAGUGUCAAAAAGGUGGCAGACAUGAACACGUUUGCGAUAUUUAUCAUCAACCCUCACAAUCCCAAUGGAAACACCUACUCGGAGGCUCAUCUCAAACAGGUACAUUUAUAAACAUAGAUACUCUUUAGUCUUAUAACUAGUAAGUAUUUUACUUGACUGUGGAUAAUCUACUUUGUUUCUUGUGUAAUUGUUGAACCUCAGCUCGCUGAACUGGCUAAGGAACUCUCUCCAUCAUGGUGGUUCCUGAUGAAGUUUUUAGAUGGACCGUCUUCGGGAAUAACCGUUUUGUUCCGACGGGAAAGUUCUCGUACAUAUCCUACCAGUGGUUACACUCGGAUCCUUAUCUAAGGGAUGGAAUGUCCCAGGAUGGCGAACUGGCUGGCUCGUGCUGCAUGAUCUAGAUGGUGCCUUUAGAAACACUAAGGUCCCAUCCUUUUUAACACUAUUUCAUAGCAACAGAACACAUCAUUGCCAUUUAACUUAAUUUUAGUACAUAUGUCCAUUGCCAAUUUGCCAUCAAUCUACUAAAUUACUUCUAUACAUUAUACAUAUAUAAUUACUUUCCAUAUACUAUAUUUGAUAGUUAAAGCUAUAAGAUGUUGCUUUUAAUUAGUUUUGGCUAAACCAUUUUGUUAUGUGUCAACAGAUAUUAACGACUUCCUCCAUAUUAACGCUAAACCUCCGACUGUUAUCAGGUAAAUUUGGGUUACUCUCUUACUCUUUUUUUAAUAAGAAAAUACAUUUACUCUCUUACGGUUAUUGUGAGAGUAAACAAAUGUGUGAAUGUAGGCUGGCACAGCAUCUUGAUAGGCCGGGAUCUUCUGCUGAAGAAUGUAGGCUGAACAGUGGGGGAUGGAAAAUCAAUUAAUAUCUGGCAAGACCCCUGGCUAAGUCUGAACAAACAGGAACGUCCAAUGGGGCCUCCCACCGAACAGAGUGCUGAACUUUGUGUCGCUGAUCUAUUGAUACAAGAAGGAAUGCGGUGGAACCGCAGGAAAAUACAACCGGUACUUCCGGAAUACGAAGAACAGAUCCUAAGCUUGAAACCAAGUUUAACAGGGGUAUCAGACAAGCUUAUUUGGUUGAGUACUAAAUCUGGAGAUUAUUCUGUUAAAUAUGGAUAUUAUGUUGCGGUGGAAAGCGACGUUCAGAUCGCUGGGGCAGAUACGGAGUUUGAUUGGUCCAAGAAUGUCUGGAAGCUGGACUGUGCCCCGAAGGUGAAGCUCUUCUCCUGGAAAUUGCUCAAAGGUGCCCUGCCUGUUGGAGAACGGCUAAUUGAACGACACAUUGAAGUAGACCCGACAUGUAAACGUUGCGGAUGCAAUGAAUCUAUCAUUCAUCUCCUCUUCCAAUGUCAGUUUGCACAAAAGGUAUGGCAGCUGGCCCCCUUCGUGACUGAAAUGGAUUAUAGAGGAACGGUAGAUUUAUUGACGGCCUGGCCAUUAAUUUGCUACCAAAAAUGCCUGCCUCCAUCGGGGAUAGCUUCCGGCACUCUGUUUCCUUGGAUCGCCUGGGAUAUAUGGAAUGCGAGGAACAGACUUGUCUUUGAUGGUUUGCUGCCUCACCCGAGGAAACCCUCUCCUCCGCUAUCAGGCUGGCUCGAGAGUGGAAUAAGGACAGUAAAUCAGAGACUUCUGGCCAGAUACGAAACAGACGAGUGGAACUUCCAACACCAAAUGGAGCGACGAUUGUGAGAUCGGACGCGGCGUGGAGUGGGAAUGGGAAUGUGGCAGGUCUAGGCUGGAUUAUCAUUGAUCCGACACAGCAUAAAGAAUUCCAACGAAGAAUGGAGUACAUUGCGUCACCUCUAAUGGCUGAAGGAUUAGCAUUGAGAGAAGCUGUUCUCACCUGCUUAGAAUUGGGGCUGCGGAACAUCAAGAUGAAGUCGGAUUCGGCUCAACUAAUCAAGUGCCUCAACACAGGGGAACAUGUAGCGGAGCUACACAAUGUUUUGUCUGAUAUCCUCUUAUUGUCGUCUGGCCUUGUGCCUGUUUCUUUUGCUUGGUUACUUCGAGAGAAGAAUGUAGAAGCUGAUACUUUGGCAAAGUGUGCCUUGAAUGUAGUUGAACCUCUGUUGGUUGGGGAGACAGUUAUUGCUCCCAACUAAGUAUUAAUUAGAAUUUUGUUUCAAAAAAAAAAAAAAAACAAAUGUGUCAAUAUGCGGUGUGAUUUUCAAUGUGAAUGCAUAUAGGCGACUAUGCCUGACUUUUUGGAGAGAACUCCAAAACAUUUCUUCACUGAAAAGGGAAGUUUUCUGAAACCUAAAGUAGAUAUUGGAUAUUCGGAGGUCAAGCACACACCUGGCCUCACUUGUUACAUGAAACCC
rnacentral:lncRNA from 1 species